rnacentral:SRP_RNA from 1 species
CAUUGGUCACCUCGCGACGAUAACCUACGAACCCCGCCAGGCCCGGAAGGGAGCAACGGCAGUAGAUGACUCGGGCGCCGGGGAGCGGCUGGUGUGG